UUCCUACGGGGGGCAGCAGUAGGGAAUCUUCGGCAAUGGGGGGAACCCUGACCGAGCAACGCCGCGUGAGUGAAGAAGGUUUUCGGAUCGUAAAGCUCUGUUGUAAGAGAAGAACGUGUGUGAGAGUGGAAAAUUCACACAGUGACGGUAACUUACCAGAAAGGGACGGCUAACUACGUGCCAGCAGCCGCGGUAAUACGUAGGUCCCGAGCGUCGUCCGGAUUUAUUGGGCGUAAAGCGAGCGCAGGCGGUUUGGUAAGUCUGA
rnacentral:rRNA from 1 species